CAUAAAUCUCCCUUAAGUGGACAACUGCAUUAAACUAUGUUUUGAGAGUGUCCGCUUACGGACUAUACCGCCAUUCUAGCCACUGAGAUAUCGACCCAACGGAUUAAAUUGGAAGCGAUUUUUGUCCAAGUUUACGAAUGUACGAAAUCUUUGCAAAAAUCUCACAUCUUGUCAACAAGAUGUGUUCGCAAGUUUCUACAAUAUUGUCACUCACAACUUUUCAACAAGUUGUUAAAUUGCAGGACGACAACAAUUGUUGGAAUAACUUGUAACAAGUCUGUUGAGUUCAACAACCUUGUAGCAAGUUGUCAACAAGCCGAUGACAACUUGUUAACAAGUUGGGAACAAGCAAUGCAACAUAUCCUGAUGACAAGUUGUUGAAACAGCAUGGCUGAUACAAGUCUGCUGCAGGUUGUUACAAGUUGUGCAUUUUUUUAGGUGUCACUGUGUAAUAGACUGUUUUCAUUGCUUUUAGCGGAGUCAUAUGUUGGCAGAGGAUUUAUCGAGAAAAACAUGAUCCGACAUGGACGUGGUAGAUAUGGCAGGGGUAGAAAGGCAUAUACUCAUUACUUUGUUGUUGUUAAAGAAGGUCUGCCGAAACCUAAAGACCAGCGACGAAGUAUUGAGGAAAAAACAGAGUUUGAACGUUAUGUGGAACAUCAACCAAAGAUAAUGGAUAGUCAUGCAUGGUGGUGAGCACUUGAAUACGGCAUCCUCAGUUAUUUGAAAUGAAUAUAUAUCAUAUA